UCAUCAUCACCAUCAUGAUCAUCUUCUGGUCUCUUAACAUUACACUGCUUCACCAGCUUUCAAUGAGAGCCUGCAUUUACCUAAAAAUAAUUUAUUCUUUUAUUUUAUUCUUUUUUUUAUUAUUAUUAUACAAAAUGUUUUAUUCAGGUCACAGGGUGAUGCUUAAAUCAGUACCAGCUUGCAUUGGACAGAAGACAGGGGAAAACCGGGGACAGUCCCUUGGAACUAUCUUAAAAUAUGAUUAUCGACACAGGAAUGGGGCAGAAAGAGAAGAGAAAAAAAGGAAGACACAAGUGAGCUGGAACGCCGACUCAUGAAGUGCUAACUGACAAAGCUGGAAGAGUAAGAGAGACCGCAGGUAUUUAACUUGACUGAACUUUCCAAAAGGCGACAAAAGGCAGUAUCAAUCCAAGUAAGCUAUAAAUCAGCCUUAAUCUCUCCUUUCCUCACUCUCUGUCUGCUCUACUUAAUUUGAUUUUUUUGUCACUUAAGAAUAAAUGAACACACACAAGCAAAAUUGUCAGUGUGCUGCCAAAAACCUGCACAGAGAUGUCUCAUCCAUCACACACAGGGGAAUAUUUUCCUCCUUAGCAGUUCAAAAAUAACUUGGCCUCCUUGAAGCCAAGAUAGAUUGUUUACCAAAGGCGAACAGGUGGUCUGCCAUGUUGUUAAUUUGUUUUCAUUAAGACAAAUAUUCACUGUUGAUUACUGUGUGCUUUUUCUUACUAUAAAGUAAUGCUGCCCAAACUCGCUGCCUUAGCUUGUGCUUAAUGCUGGGGCCUCUGCUAAAGAGAUGUUUGAAACCAUUUCCCUGCCAAAAAUGUGUUUUAAUGGCGUGGCUGUUCCCUGUGCUGAUAAUGUAAUCUGUCAUAUGUAUACAAAGACUGUCAUUAAUCGUUUCUACAUUUUUUAUGAAUUCAUACAAGCCUGUAGAAAUGCAGCAUACAUG